rnacentral:rRNA from 1 species
GUGCCAGCCGCCGCGGUAAUACGGAGGGUGCAAGCGUUGUUCGGAAUUAUUGGGCGUAAAGGGCGCGUAGGCGGUAAUGCAAGUCAGAUGUGAAAUACUCCGGCUCAACUGGGGAACUGCAUCUGAAACUGCAUAACUAGAGUACAGAAGAGGGAAACGGAAUUCCCGGUGUAGAGGUGAAAUUCGUAGAUAUCGGGAGGAACACCAGUGGCGAAGGCGGUUUCCUGGUCUGAUACUGACGCUGAGGCGCGAAAGUGUGGGGAGCAAACAGGAUUAGAAACCCUUGUAGUCC